rnacentral:lncRNA from 1 species
GAUUUUAUUCAAGCAAUAUUUAUUAUUGUUGAAGACAUCCACAUCAAGUUAAAUUCACAAGCAUAUAGUUAGUAUAGCUGGCAAAAUAUUAAGAAUUUAGGAAAUCAGAUUUCAUUAUAAAACAGAGUACAAAAUAAUUCUCUCUUCAAUUAAAAAUGUAAUUAGUAUGGCUUUAACAAAUCUGUCUUCCCAUAGACAGCUUGUUCUAACUUGAAUGUAGGAUUUCCAAAUAAAAACUACCACACAGUGUUUAAAGUACACCCUUUCACUCCUGUUAGUUUUGCUCCUAUUAGUCAUGACCAUGUCAAUCUUUUUAAGUAAAAAUUAGUACCCCUGCAUCUAUUAGAACUCCUCUU